rnacentral:lncRNA from 1 species
ACUGUAGCUCCUACGACACCAUCUGUAGCUCCUAUGACCACUACAACUGCAGCACCUACUUCAACAACCACUGCAGCUCUUACAACCACUACAUCAGCAGCACCUACUUCGACAACUACAAAUGCAGUUCCUACAACAACGACAACUGAAGCUCCUAUGACAACCACAACGGCAGCUCUAACUACAACAUCUGUAGCUCCUACGACCACAACAGCAGCAUCUACUACAACAAAUACAAAUGCAGCUCCUACGACAACCACAACUGCAGCUCCUACUACAACUUUAGAUCCCACGACCAUUACAACAGAAGCACCCACUACGACCACUACAAACGCAGCUACUACGACAACCUCAACUGAUACUCCUACUGCAACUUUAGAUACUACGACCACUACAACAGCAGCACCUACAACGACAACUGUAGCUCCUACGACAACCACAACUGUAGCUCCAAGUACAACUGUAGCUCCUACCACCACAACUACACCACCUACUUCGACAACCGUAGCAACUACGACCACAACUACACCACCUACUUCGACAACCGCUGCAUCUGCUAAAAUAACUACAACUGACGCUCCUACAACACCAUCUGUAGCUCUUACAACCACUACAACUGCAGCACCUACUUCAACAACUACAACUGAAGCUCCUACGAUAACCACAACUGCAGCACCUGCUACAAAAACUACAACUGAAGCUGCUAUGACAACCACAACUUCAGCGCCUACUACGACAACUACAACACCUACUACGACACCUACUACGACAACCACAACUGAAGCUCCUACGACAUCAUCUGUAGCUCCUAUGACCACUACAACUGCAGCACCUACUUCAACAACCACUGCAGCUCUUACAACAACUACAUCAGCAGUUCCUACAACAACGACAACUGAAGCUCCUACGACAACCACAACUGCAGCUCCAACUACAACAUCUGUAGCUCCUACAACCACUACAACAGCAGCACCUACUACAACAACUACAAAUGCAGCUCCUACGACAACCACAUCUGCAGCUCCUACUACAACUUUAGAUCCCACGACCAUUACAACAGAAGCACCCACGACGACCAUUACAAACGCAGCUCCUACGACAACCGCAACUGAUACUCCUACUACAACUUUAGAUACUACGACCACUACAACAGCAGCACCUACAACGACAACCACAACAGCAGCACCUACAACAACAACUGUAGCUUUUACGACAACAAAUAUGUCCCCAACCACUACAACGUCAGCAGCUACAGCGAAAAUCACUUCAGCUCCUACUACAACAACUGGAGCUCUUACAACCACUACGACUGCAGCACAUACUACAACAACUACAACUGAAGCGCCUAUGAUAACCACAACUGCAGCACCUACUACGACAAUUAUAACUGAAGCUGCUACGACAACCACAAUUGCAGCACCUAUUACGACAACUGCAGCACCUACUACGACAACUGCAGCACCUACUACGACAACCACACCACCUACUACGACAACCACAACACCUACUACGACAACCACAACACCUACUACGACAACCACAACUGUAGCUCCUACGACAACCACAACUGUAGCUCCAAGUGCAACAACUGUAGCUCCUACGACCACAACUACACCACCUACUUCGACAACCGCUGCAGCAUCUGCUAAAAUAACUGCAACUGACGCUCCUACACCAUAUGUAGCUCUUACAACCACUACAACUGCAGCACCUACUUUAACAACUACAACUGAAGCUCCUACGAUAACCACAACUGCAGCACCUACAACAACAACUGUAGCUUCUAUGACAACAAAUAUAUCCCCAACCACUACAACGUCAGCAGCUACAGCAAAAAUCACUUCAGCUCCUACUACAACAACUGUAGCUCUUACAACCACUACGACUGCAACACAUUCUACAACUACAACUAAAGCUACUACGACAACCACAACUGCAGCACCUACUACGACAACGACAACUGCAGCACCUACUACGACAAUGACAAAUGCAGUUCCUAUGACAACCACAACUGCAGCUCCUACUACAACAACUUUAGAUCGUACGACCACAACAACAGAAGCACCUACAACGACAACUGAAGGUCCUACGAUAACCACAACAACAUCUGUAGCUCCUUCGCCAACAACUGUAGCUCCUACGACCACUACAACUGCAUCAUCUACUUUGACAACCACUGCAGCACCUGCUACAAUAACUACAACUGAAGCCCCUAUGACAACCACAACACCUACUAUGGCCAUUACAACAGCAGCACCCAUAACAAGAACUGUAGCUCCUAUGAUCAAUACAACUUCAGCACCUACUUCGACAACCACUGCAGCACCUGCUACAAUAACUACAACUGCAGCUCUUACAACAACCACAACUGCAGCUAAAGCUACAACCAUAACUGCACCUCCUACUAUAACAUUUUUAGCUCUUAUGACCCCUACAUCAGCCGCACCUACAAUGAAAUCUGUUGCUCCUACAGCAACUGUUGCGCCUACAACCACUACAUCUACCAUACCUACAACAACAACUAAAGCUCUUACUCCAAUAACUGUAGCUCCUUCAACCAGCACCACAAAAGCUGCUAUGACAAUCAAUUCAGCUCUUACUAAAACAACCAUUGGUCCUACCACCCCUACAACUGCAGCAUCUACUACGACAACAACUACAGCUCUUACAACAACCACAAUUGCAGCUACUAUGAUAACUGCAGCUCCUACAAGUGCAACUGCAGCUCCUACAGAUGCAACUGCAGCUCCUACAGCUGCAACUCUUACAACUGCAUCUGCAGCUCCUACAACUGCAGAUGAUAAUGCUGCAUUAAUUAAAACAGCUGUAGCUCCUACAACCACUACAAUGGCAGGUCCUUCAACAACCACAACUCCAGCUCCUUCGACAACCACAACGAAAGCUGCUACAACAACCACAAAUAUAGCUGCUACAACCACCACAACAGCAGCACCCACAACGACAACUGUAGAAGCUACCACACCACCUCCUACUCUUUUGCUGACCACUCCUUUCAAUACCACAAGUGGAGGUUUUCCUGGCUGGGCUCUGGCCAUUAUCAUCCCUUGUGGCAUCGCUAUCAUUCUGGUACCCCUGUGGAUCCUGCUAUGUUGCAUUUUAUGUGGCGGAUGUGUAGCUAUAAGGAGACGCUGGCACAGACGCAGAUCUUACAAUGUACAGUACAGCAGAAGAAACGGUCUCUUCUGAGGUGACAACGCUAACAUCUCUGGCCUAUUGUAAUCACAAGAACAGCCAAUCAUCUAUAUCUGCUAAUCAUGGCACUUUAAUGCAUGGAAAAAUUACUUGACUACACAGCAUUGCAUCUGAGAAGAUCAAGUGAAAAUGUAUAAUAGGCUUAAAAGGCCACAUGUUUUUUGUGCAAUGUACUACUUUAUAUAUUAUGCAUCUGAAUGUUAAUCAAAGUUACAGCUGAGCUGAACAUAGUAUGUUAAUAUAUUUAUUAGUUAUGUCAUUUGUGGUUUCAAGCUGUGCUGUCCACUUACUAAAACAGUUAUCAUUUAUUUAUUUCAUGUAUAAUAAGCUUCAUUCCAAUAUUUAUUUUUUGUUUGUUAUUUCCUCUCUUGAUUAACUAUGAACUAAUUUAUUUUAAACUUCAAUACAGUACAUGUUUCUUCAACUUAUAGUUUGACAAAUGUAAUGAAAAUACAAACCAGUAUUAUGAUCAAAUUUUAUGUAAAGGUUUGACUGCAGGGUGAUUAUAGACAGCACAUGUACACAUCAAAAGUAGUCAAAAUUGUCCGACCUGGCACCUUAAUCUAUGCAAAACUUAUUAAAGACCAAGUUCAGUCAAAAAA